rnacentral:rRNA from 1 species
UACAGAGGUCUCAAGCGUUGUUUCGGAUUCAGUUGGGCGUAAAGGGUGCGUAGGCGGCGCGGUAAGUCGGGUGUGAAAUCUCGGAGCUUAACUCCGAAACUGCAUUCGAUACUGCCGUGCUUGAGGACUGGAGAGGAGACUGGAAUUUACGGUGUAGCGGUGAAAUGCGUAGAUAUCGUAAGGAAGACCAGUGGCGAAGGCGGCAUCCUGGACCGACAUUGACGCUGAGGAGCGAAAGCCUAGGGGAGCAAACGGG